rnacentral:rRNA from 1 species
AGUGAACGCUGGCGGUAGGCCUAACACAUACAAGUCGAACGGCAGCACAGGAGAGCUUGCUCUCUGGGUGGCGAGUGGCGGACGGGUGAGGAAUACAUCGGAAUCUACUCUGUCGUGGGGGAUAACGUAGGGAAACUUACGCUAAUACCGCAUACGACCUACGGGUGAAAGCAGGGGACCUUCGGGCCUUGCGCGAUUGAAUGAGCCGAUGUCGGAUUAGCUAGUUGGCGGGGUAAAGGCCCACCAAGGCGACGAUCCGUAGCUGGUCUGAGAGGAUGAUCAGCCACAGUGGAACUGAGACACGGUCCAGACUCCUACGGGAGGCAGCAGUGGGGAAUAUUGGACAGUGGGCGAAAGCCUGAUCCAGCCAUACCGCGUGGGUGAAGAAGGCCUUCGGGUUGUAAAGCCCUUUUGUUGGGAAAGAAAUCCAGCUGGCUAAUACCCGGUUGGGAUGACGGUACCCAAAGAAUAAGCACCGGCUAACUUCGUGCCAGCAGCCGCAGUAA